rnacentral:rRNA from 1 species
AAAAAAGCCGCCCGUACCCCAAACCGACACAGGUGGUCAGGUAGAGAAUACCAAGGCGAUCGAGAGAACUAUGGUUAAGGAACUCGGCAAAAUGCCCCCGUAACUUCGGGAGAAGGGGGGCCGAUUUGGGUGAGGAGACUUGCUCUCCAAGCCCGGGUUGGCCGCAGAGACCAGGCCCAAGCGACUGUUUACUAAAAACACAGGUCCAUGCGAAGUCGCAAGACGCUGUAUAUGGACUGACGCCUGCCCGGUGCUGGAACGUUAAGGGGACGGGUUAGCAACUUCGGUUGCGAAGCUCAGAACUUAAGCGCCAGUAAACGGCGGUGGUAACUAUAACCAUCCUAAGGUAGCGAAAUUCCUUGUCGGGUAAGUUCCGACCUGCACGAAUGGCGUAACGACUUGGGCGCUGUCUCAACCGUAGACUCGGCGAAAUUGCACUACGAGUAAAGAUGCUCGUUACGCGCGGCAGGACGAAAAGACCCCGGGACCUUUACUACAGCUUGGUAUUGGUGGUCGAUUCAAUUUGUGCAGGAUAGGUGGGAGACUAUGAACUCUGGACGCCAGUUCAGAGGGAGUCAUCGUUGAAAUACCACUCUGAUUGUAUUGGCUGUCUAACCUAGGUCCGUAAUCCGGAUCAGGGACAGUGCCUGGUGGGUAGUUUAACUGGGGCGGUUGCCUCCCAAAAUGUAACGGAGGCGCUCAAAGGUUCCCUCAGCCUGGUUGGCAAUCAGGUAUCGAGUGUAAGUGCACAAGGGAGCUUGACUGUGAGACUGACGGGUCGAGCAGGGACGAAAGUCGGAACUAGUGAUCCGGCGCUGGCAAGUGGAAGCGGCGUCGCUCAACGGAUAAAAGGUACCCCGGGGAUAACAGGCUGAUCUUCCCCAAGAGUCCAUAUCGACGGGAUGGUUUGGCACCUCGAUGUCGGCUCGUCGCAUCCUGGGGCUGGAGUUGGUCCCAAGGGUUGGGCUGUUCGCCCAUUAAAGCGGCACGCGAGCUGGGUUUAGAACGUCGUGAGACAGUUCGGUCCCUAUCCGCCGCGCGCGUAAGAGUCUUGAGAAGGGCUGUCCCUAGUACGAGAGGACCGGGAUGGACGAACCUCUGGUGUGUCAGUUGUCCUGCCAAGGGCACUGCUGAUUAGCUACGUUCGGAACGGAUAACCGCUGAAAGCAUCUAAGCGGGAAGCCGGCUUCAAGAUGAGGGCUCUCACAGGGUUAACCUGGUAAGGCCCCCAGUAGACCACUGGGUUGAUAGGCCGGAAGUGGAAGUACGGCGACGUAUGGAGCUGACCGGUACUAAUAGGCCGAGGACUUGACCC